rnacentral:rRNA from 1 species
GACGAACGCUGGCGGCGUGCCUAAUACAUGCAAGUCGAACGAGAGCGACCGGUGCUUGCACUGGUCAAUCUAGUGGCGAACGGGUGAGUAACACGUGGGUAACCUGCCCAUCAGAGGGGGAUAACAUCCGGAAACGGAUGCUAAAACCGCAUAGGUCUUCGAACCGCAUGGUUUGAAGAGGAAAAGAGGCGCAAGCUUCUGCUGAUGGAUGGACCCGCGGUGCAUUAGCUAGUUGGUGAGGUAACGGCUCACCAAGGCCGUGAUGCAUAGCCGACCUGAGAGAGUGAUCGGCCACAUUGGGACUGAGACACGGCCCAAACUCCUACGGGAGGCAGCAGUAGGGAAUCUUCCGCAAUGGACGCAAGUCUGACGGAGCAACGCCGCGUGAGUGAAGAAGGUUUUCGGAUCGUAAAACUCUGUUGUUAGUGAAGAACAAGUGCUAGAGUAACUGUUAGCGCCUUGACGGUAUCUAACCAGAAAGCCACGGCUAACUACGUG